GAUGAACGCUAGCUACAGGCUUAACACAUGCAAGUCGAGGGGUAACGAGAGGGAAGCUUGCUUUCCUUGUCGACGACCGGCGCACGGGUGAGUAACGCGUAUCCAACCUGCCCCCAACUAGGGAAUAACCUUGCGAAAGUAAGACUAAUACCCUAUAAUUUCCUCAGAUGCCAUCUGACGAGGAAUAAAGAUUUAUCGGUUGUGGAUGGGGAUGCGUCUGAUUAGCUUGUUGGCGGGGUAACGGCCCACCAAGGCAACGAUCAGUAGGGGUUCUGAGAGGAAGGUCCCCCACAUUGGAACUGAGACACGGUCCAAACUCCUACGGGAGGCAGCAGUGAGGAAUAUUGGUCAAUGGGCGGAAGCCUGAACCAGCCAAGUAGCGUGCAGGAUGGCGGCCCUAUGGGUUGUAAACUGCUUUUAUACAGGAAUAAAGUUAGCCACGUGUGGUUAUUUGUAGGUACUGUAUGAAUAAGGACCGGCUAAUUCCGUGCCAGCCGCCGCAGUAA
rnacentral:rRNA from 1 species